rnacentral:lncRNA from 1 species
CCCAGGAGGACUUUCCACGGUGUGUGGCGCAUCGUAGGGACUCGAGCAGCAUCGAUGGCGUUAAGUGGAACCGAAGAGAUAGCUACCAAGGUGCUGCCUCUGACUGGUGGAGAUUUAAAGCCACCCUGAAGCAAUGACAAGCUACCCUGGCCAAGGCUCUACCAGUUCCUGUGUGGAGUACAAAUCUUCAUUCUUGCAGGGGUGCUGUACUACUAUUUUCAGGGGUCUGUGGGGAACACAGCCCCUGACCACGGAAUUGUUGGCGAAUCAUCCCAGGUAGGGACCUCCGUCAGGGUCUAGGGCUGGGCCAUCUCCGUGGAGCACAAGG